rfam:Cricetulus griseus cell line CHO-K1, whole genome shotgun sequence.
GGUGAAAUGGCUCAGUGGUUAAAGAGCACUGGCUGAUCUUUCAGAUGACCUGGGUUCGGUUCCCAGUACCAACA